AGUGAACGCUGGCGGUAGGCCUAACACAUGCAAGUCGAACGGCAGCACAGUAAGAGCUUGCUCUUACGGGUGGCGAGUGGCGGACGGGUGAGGAAUACAUCGGAAUCUACUUUUUCGUGGGGGAUAACGUAGGGAAACUUACGCUAAUACCGCAUACGACCUACGGGUGAAAGCAGGGGAUCUUCGGACCUUGCGCGAUUGAAUGAGCCGAUGUCGGAUUAGCUAGUUGGCGGGGUAAAGGCCCACCAAGGCGACGAUCCGUAGCUGGUCUGAGAGGAUGAUCAGCCACACUGAAGCUGAGACACGGUCCAGACUCCUACGGGAGGCAGCAGUGGGGAAUAUUGGACAAUGGGCGCAAGCCUGAUCCAGCCAUACCGCGUGGGUGAAGAAGGCCUUCGGGUUGUAAAGCCCUUUUGUUGGGAAAGAAAAGCAGCAGGUUAAUACCCCGCUGUUCUGACGGUACCCAAAGAAUAAGCACCGGCUAACUUCGU
rnacentral:rRNA from 1 species